rnacentral:rRNA from 1 species
CCUACGGGCGGCAGCAGUGGGGAAUAUUGGACAAUGGGGGGAACCCUGAUCCAGCCAUGCCGCGUGUGUGAAGAAGGCCCUCGGGUUGUAAAGCACUUUCAGUGAGGAAGAACGCCUGGUGGUUAAUACCCAUCAGGAAAGACAUCACUCACGGAAGAAGCACCGGCUAACUCCGUGCCAGCAGCCGCGGUAAUACGGAGGGUGCGAGCGUUAAUCGGAAUUACUGGGCGUAAAGCGCGCGUAGGUGGCUUGAUAAGCCGGUUGUGAAAGCCCCGGGCUCAACCUGGGAACGGCAUCCGGAACUGUCAAGCUAGAGUGCAGGAGAGGAAGGUAGAAUUCCCGGUGUAGCGGUGAAAUGCGUAGAGAUCGGGAGGAAUACCAGUGGCGAAGGCGGCCUUCUGGACUGACACUGACACUGAGGUGCGAAAGCGUGGGUAGCAAACAGGAUUAGAUACCCUGGUAGUC